rnacentral:rRNA from 1 species
UACAGAGGGUGCAAGCGUUGUUCGGAAUUACUGGGCGUAAAGGGCGCGCAGGCGGCCCCCUGAAGUCAGAUGUGAAAGCCCCCGGGCUCAACCUGGGAAUAGCAUUUGAUACUCGGGGGCUGGAGUGCGGGAGAGGAGAGUGGAAUUCCCAGUGUAGAGGUGAAAUUCGUAGAUAUUGGGAAGAACACCGGUGGCGAAGGCGGGCU